UGGGGAAUAUUGGACAAUGGGCGCAAGCCUGAUCCAGCAAUACCGCGUGUGUGAAGAAGGCCUGCGGGUUGUAAAGCACUUUUGGUGGGGAAGAAAAGUUAGGAGUUAAUACCUCCUAACCGUGACACUACCCACAGAAAAAGCACCGGCUAACUCUGUGCCAGCAGCCGCGGUAAUACAGAGGGUGCAAGCGUUAAUCGGAGUUACUGGGCGUAAAGGGCGCGUAGGCGGUCCUAUAGGUGAGAUGUGAAAUCCCCGGGCUUAACCUGGGAACUGCAUCUUAAACGGUAGGGCUGGAGUACUGUAGAGGAUAGUGGAAUUUCCGGUGUAGCGGUGAAAUGCGUAGAGAUCGGAAGGAACACCAGUGGCGAAGGCGACUGUCUGGACAGAUACUGACGCUGAGGCGCGAAAGCGUGGGGAGCAAACAGG
rnacentral:rRNA from 1 species